rnacentral:rRNA from 1 species
UUGCACGCUGGCGGCAGGCCUAACACAUGCCAGUCGAACGGUAACAGGAAGAAGCUUGCUUCUUUGCUGACGAGUGGCGGACGGGUGAGUAAUGUCCGGGAAACUGCCUGAUGGAGGGGGAUAACUACUGGAAACGGUAGCUAAUACCGCAUAACGUCGCAAGACCAAAGAGGGGGACCUUCGGGCCUCUUGCCAUCGGAUGUGCCCAGAUGGGAUUAGCUAGUAGGUGGGGUAACGGCUCACCUAGGCGACGAUCCCUAGCUGGUCUGAGAGGAUGACCAGGCCACCUGGAAAUGGGACCACGGCCAGACUCCUACGGGGGGGAGGAGGGGGGAAUUAUUGCCAAAGGGCGGAAGGCUGAUGGAAGCAAGGCGGGUGGAUGGAGAAGGGCUUCGGGUUGGUAAAGUACUUCAGGGGGGAGGAAGGGAGUAAAGUUAAUACCUUUGCUCAUUGACGUUACCCGCAGAAGAAGCACCGGCUAACUCCGUG